rnacentral:snRNA from 1 species
AGCCGCGGAAUGAGCACAUAGCUAACUAUUCUUUUUCCUUUUACUAAAGAAUACCAUGUACUCUCCCCAUUUAGUGGCAUACGUUAAUAUUUUGGGGGGAUCUCCUCUGUGGGAGAGC